rnacentral:rRNA from 1 species
CCUACGGGAGGCAGCAGUGAGGAAUAUUGGUCAAUGGACGAGAGCCUGAACCAGCCAAGUAGCGUGCAGGAUGACUGCCCUACGGGUUGUAAACUGCUUUUAUACGGGAAUAACGCGCCUUACGUGUGGGGCUUUGCAUGUACCGUAUGAAUAAGGACCGGCUAAUUCCGUGCCAGCAGCCGCGGUAAUACGGAGGAUCCGGGCGUUAUCCGGAUUUAUUGGGUUUAAAGGGAGCGUAGGCAGCAUGUUAAGCGUGCUGUGAAAUGUCCGGGCUCAACCGGGGACUUGCAGCGCGAACUGGCGGGCUUGAGUCCGCGGAAGGCAGGCGGAAUUCGUCGUGUAGCGGUGAAAUGCUUAGAUAUGACGAAGAACCCCGAUUGCGAAGGCAGCUUGCUGCAGUGGAACUGACGCUGAGGCUCGAAAGCGCGGGUAUCGAACAGGAUUAGAUACCCGGGUAGUC